rnacentral:rRNA from 1 species
GUGGGGAAUAUUGGACAAUGGGGGGAACCCUGAUCCAGCCAUGCCGCGUGUGUGAAGAAGGCCUUUUGGUUGUAAAGCACUUUAAGCGAGGAGGAGGCUACCGAGAUUAAUACUCUUGGAUAGUGGACGUUACUCGCAGAAUAAGCACCGGCUAACUCUGUGCCAGCAGCCGCGGUAAUACAGAGGGUGCAAGCGUUAAUCGGAUUUACUGGGCGUAAAGCGCGCGUAGGUGGCCAAUUAAGUCAAAUGUGAAAUCCCCGAGCUUAACGUGGGAAUUGCAUUCGAUACUGGUUGGCUAGAGUAUGGGAGAGGAUGGUAGGAUGCCAGGUGUAGCGGUGAAAUGCGUAGAGAUCUGGAGGAAUACAGAUGGCGAAGGCAGCCAUCUAGCCUAAUACUGACACUGAGGUGCGAAAGCAUGGAGAGCAAACAGGAUUAGAUACCCGGGUAGUCC